AUGAGAUUUACAUGAAAAGAAGGAAUGAAUAUGACGUUUUGAAGGGAAAGAAUAUCUGAUACUGACUAUACCAGAUUGAUUGAUUACAGUUCAAGUAUUAUCAGAAAGUUUCAUAGUAGUUGUGGAAGCGGAAACCCGCACAAUCGGAAGUUAUAAGAAAAUAUCGGUGAUCCAGAUUCUACGAUAGCCAACAACAAGUAAUCAGGGACAAGAUAUGCGAUAAAAAUUAUUCUAAAAGUAAAAACAAAAACGAGAAAAGAACAAAUAUGCUCUUUAUUCCGAAUUUACGCAAAAGCGUUGAAAAAUGAAACAAUACAAGGGGAUAGUUUGAAAGAGAGAAUACAAUAGAACAGUAUGGAAAGGCAAUAAAGCUUCAAAUUUCCGUUAGAUUAACCACAUAAGCCUAAAGUUCAUAUGCAAUCGCAGCUCGUGUGUAAACAGUUGAUAAUUAUAAAGCCUAAGUUCUAAGUUGUAGAGAGUUCCAACAGCGAAAUUUAUGUUUCUAUUUCUCUGUCCUAGACUUGUUUAUAUACACCUCCAAGGUUGGCUAUCUUUCCAUUUUUCCGUAUAUCCCUAUUUGUCUUGUUUCCGUAGUUCCCCCGAUCUUUCCUAUUUUGAGAUUUUGAGUUUGUCUCUUAUUCUCCGAAUAGCAUUUUUUUUUAAUUUAUACAAAUUUAUCUUAGCUGAAACGUUGUUAAAUUCGGCACGACAUAUGCACAUUUAUUAACUCAAAAUUUUCGGCUUGUAAACUUUUAUGAAAAGGAACUUUUUCAUUGUUAGUUCGUAGUUUUGGCCAUUAAUCUUGAAUGACAAAAUUUGAUCCUAACAAUGAUAAGUUAAACUGAACAAAAAAAUAAGAAUUCAUAAUUCACGUUGUUAACAUAAUGUUUGUGUUCAAAAAUCAUCUCUUAUAUUAUGAGUAUUUAUAAUAUUUUUUAUAUUAUGAAUAUUUAAAAAAAUCAAUAACUAUUGGAGAUGAAAAUUUAUUUAUGAUAAACUUGAAAGAUUACCAAAAAAUAUUUUCAAAAGUCAAAUAUAUAUAGUCAAACAUUCUAAAUAUAUAGUCAAACAUUCUAAACAUAAUUGUAUUUCUAAAAUGGACCAUCUUGUAAUUCUAUAAAGCUCUUUUCCAGUGGCCUCCGGUUUUUCAAGUCUAUUAUUAUUCAAAGAAAAAAACAACCAAUGGCUAGAGCAGCUUUUUCACUUGUUCUCCCAAUCAUCUUCAUUGUCAUGUUUUGCUUAGUUGAUGAAAAUAUGGGAUGCGGUCAAUAUAUCGGUCCCUGCCCUGUUCGUGGAACUUGUGAUCAAGCAUGCAAAGCUCAAUUUGGACCAAAGGCAGAUGGCAUAUGUGACUUCACGGGUACUAAACGGUGUGCUUGCAAAUAUCCUUGUAUGACUGAUAAGACUCGGAUUUGAUUUCUAUUCUGAUUUGAAAUCCUAACUUCAUUCAAAAUGUAAGAAAAUAUCAUCAUUAAUAACAAUGCAAAAAAAUGCAACUGUUAUUGUU